rnacentral:rRNA from 1 species
CAGCAAUAAUCCUUCUGAAGGAUUCAAUUUAUUGAUUGGAUAACUGUAGGAAAUCUAGAGCUAAUACAUACAUAAAAUCUAUUGCAAAAUAGAUGUAUUUAUUGGAAACAAGACUGAUCCUUUUGGAUUUACUAUGGUUAAUGUAAAGGAUUACCAUGGUUGUAACGGAUCACGGGGAAUUAGGGUUUGAUUCCGGAGAGGAAGCUUGAGAAUUGGCUACCAUUUCUAAGGAAGGCAGCAGGUGCGCAAAUUACCCAAUCUUGAUACAAGGAGGUAGUGACAAGAAAUACUAGAAUAGUUAUCUUUUAGAUGACUAUUUUUCGGAAUGAGAACAAUUUAAAAACAUUAACGAGUAACAACUAGAGGGCAAGUCUGGUGCCAGCAGCCGCGGUAAUUCCAGCUCUAGUAGUGUAUAUUAAAGUUGUUGUGGUUAAAAAGCUCGUAUUUGAACGUUACAUUUGUUGUUGGUUCCUCAUAUUAUUUGAGCGUAAUUAAACAUUGAAUGGAGAUAUUUAGAUUGUGAUUUAUUACUUUCUAAAUCCUUACUUUGAUAAAAAUUGGUGGAUCAAACAAGACUUUAAGUCUGAAAAAUUUUGCAUGGGAUAAGAAAAUAUGGUUAUUGUUUCAUUUAAAGUCUAUUGAAACGUAACAAUGAUUAAAAGGGACAGUUGGGGUCACUCAUAUUUAAGCGGGAGGGGUGAAAUCCUAAGAUCGUUUAAAGAUGAACUAAAGCGAAAGCAUUUGACAAAUAUGUUUUCAUUGAUCAAGAACGAAAGUUGGGGGAGCGAAGAUGAUCAGAUACCGUUGUAGUCCUUUACCGUAAACUAUGUCGACUUAGGAUAAAAUUCCGUUACAUGGAUGACUUCUUUUGCACUAUAUGAGAAAUCAAAGUAUUCAGACUCCAGGGGGAAGUAUGGUCGCAAGGCUGAAACUUAAAGGAAUUGACGGAAGAGCACCACCAGGAGUGGAAUAUGCGGCU